UGGGGAAUUUUGGAUAAUGGGGGAAACCCUGAUCCAGCCAUCCCGCGCGUGCGAUGAAGGCCUUCGGGUUGUAAAGCACUUUUUGCAGGAAAGAAACGUCAUGGGUUAAUACCCCGUGAAACUGACGGUACCUGCAGAAUAAGCACCGGCUAACUACGUGCCAGCAGCCGCGGUAAUACGUAGGGUGCAAGCGUUAAUCGGAAUUACUGGGCGUAAAGCGUGCGCAGGCGGUUCGGAAAGAAAGAUGUGAAAUCCCAGAGCUCAACUUUGGAACUGCAUUUUUAACUACCGGGCUAGAGUGUGUCAGAGGGAGGUGGAAUUCCGCGUGUAGCAGUGAAAUGCGUAGAUAUGCGGAGGAACACCGAUGGCGAAGGCAGCCUCCUGGGAUAACACUGACGCUCAUGCACGAAAGCGUGGGGAGCAAACAGG
rnacentral:rRNA from 1 species